UUGAGAGAUGAUGCCGUUAUAAGAUUCUGUUUGGCAGUCCCGAGGCCUGGCUGAGCGCGAAGUGGGAGGACAUGCUAGCCACCGAUGUAUACAAGACCAACCUGAUCGGCGUAGUUGUCGAUGAAGUCCAUCUUACUUAUAUAAAUGGAGGAAGGCUGAGAAAGGACGGAAGGCUUUUAGGGAAAGCUUUGCGAGGUUGGGGAACUGAGAGCUAUCAUGAAACCAGAAACACCGGUACUGGCAUUGACUGUGUCUGCGGAAUUGCACUCAAGAGAAAUUGUCAGGAGACCGCUCCAACUACAAAACCCAGUUGACAUCAUUGCCAGCCCCAAUCGACCAAACAUCAGACUCUCCAUAAGACAACUUUCGAGUGAGUCACUGGACUGUUUCGACUGGCUCGUGAAGGACUUGAAAGAGAAAGGAGUGGAGAUGUCACCAGUCAAUAUAUACUGCCGGACAAUAAACACGAGGGAGAAAACGAUGCUUAAAGAAAGUCUAAAUGGCUGCUUUAGGAAAGCCCUGUAUGUACAUUUUGAGCCUCACGUGUCCAGUGUGGAGCCUGGCCAUUCCUGCUGCACCUAUUGCCACUCAUUAUGCAAGUGUAACUCUGACUGUUGCUCUGUGCCAAAACCCAACUUUGAAAUACCCAAACAAAUCCCGUCACCUGUCAAAUGUAGAAAUGUCACAUUGGAAGAGCAGGGACUGGUCAGACAGCUUUUGGAGGAGUAUAGGGAUAGCCUGAUUGCACCAGGUGAACACCUUUACACAAAUGCCUCAUUCUGCACUGGUUUCAGCAAUGUACUAAUUUACUCAGUUUUGGAAAGUCUUUGUGAUAUUUGACAUGACUUAUGUCAUGCAGAAUCUCCCUGUAUUUGACAUAAAACAUGGCCAGGACAUCCUACGCAUUGUUCACAAAGUAUUUAAAGAUUUUGAUGUGUGUGAAUUCCCUGACAUUCCUGAAAAACCAUACCUGUCACCAGACAUGGACUUUCCAGUGUAUUUUGAUGUUGAGGA